GGCGCCCGAAGCAGCCGCGGCGCGCCGCAUCCUCCCAUCGCCCCAUCCACCGCGACUCGCCGCAUCUCGCAUCCAUCCAUCCAGCCCACAUCGCCGCAUCUCGCAGACACGCACGGGAGGGCAGCCACGGCCGCAGCAGGACCCUCGCGACUUGUGUCCUUCCUCCCCGAUCUGCAACUCCUUCCUUGCAGGUUUGCAACUUUUUUUUCGUGCUCUUUUCUUCCCAUCUGCUCGAUCUAAUCCUCCUAAAUCUGAACAAAUCUUCCCUAUGAUCUUCGAAUUGUAGAUAAUUUUUUAUGUCCAUCUAUAUAUUAGUGCAAAUUUGUUGCAAUCCACACAAGUUGCUAGCAGUUUUGGAUGGUGCCUCUUGACUAAUGAUCAGUAAAUAAACUAUUAGGACUUAAUUUCGUCUAAUAGAUCAACAGGAUGGGUGCCCCCUUACAAGACUCUUCUGAACAUAUAGGUUUAUGUAUUGCAGUCCUGAGAUGGCAACUUGUGUUCAAUUUUUUGUGGCAACUUGUGUUUCCUCAGACUGCAACUUAUCUACAUUUCGAGUUUUUUUGUAUGGCAAUUUGUGUUCAUUUUUUUGUGGCUACAAAAAGAAACUUGUAUUGUGCUAAUUAGUAUUUGUGUGCCUUCCUAUAUACAUUAUGAGUUUCCUUGCAUGACAAGUUAUACUUAAUAUUUGUGUUUUUUAGGUGUAAUAUGACUUGUAGUGGGGUUUUUGAUCUAAAUUCUGCGCCACUACAAGAGCAUGAUUUCCUUGCAUCCCCUUCAGAUCUUGAGUUGCAGCAAGUUUCUGGUGCAGCUUUCCCACCGAUGUGUGUUGCAGGUGGUGCAGGUGCACAUGUGUCCAGCAGCAACUUGACUCUCCCUGUAAUAUCCAAUGAAACCCUUCAUCUGCCAAGCAACUCAGCUCCUCCUGAACUGGCAACUCAGCAACUUAGCAACUCAGCAUCAAAGGUGCUCUCGGCUGAAUCUGGUGGUGUGACAGUUCCCACGGCUGAGACAACCGCAGAUGAAGUUGAUGUUGAGGAUGGUGUUGAGGUUUUAUCCACUCCGCAGGAACCUUUUGUAGGCAUGUCUUUUAAUAGUUCUGAUGCUGCCAAAGACUAUUACAAUUCAUAUGCCCGUUAUACAGGUUUCUCAAUAAGGAUCGACACAUUCCGUGAGUCGAAGAAGGCCAAUGAAAAGACAAAGUAUAUCUAUGUUUGCCAGAAGGCUGGGGUCAACAAGAAAGAGAAGGUUGCUGAUGAUGGGCCAAUAACUGAGAAAAAGAUUGUGAGGCAAAGGCGCAGGGAUUAUGUAGAUAGGACGCACUGCCCAGCUCACAUGAUUGUGAGGAAGACAUCCCCUGGACACUGGGAGGUUGUGAACUUUGAAAGGGAGCACAACCAUGAGUGUUUAAGAAAAUUCUCGCUCACAAAAUACUUGAAGUCCCACAGAGACAUACCAGCUGAAGAGAAAGAGUUCAUCAAGUUGCUCCAUGGAUGCUGCAUCACGACAACUCGUGCUUACCAGAUAAUGGCCGAGUUGUAUGGAGGUAUUGAAAACUGUCCAUACACCGAAGGUGAUGCAAAAAUCUGCGUGUUGAGUACCGCGCUGAAUAUAGAGGUAAAGAUGUGAAGGCGACGCUUGAGUACUUUGAAGAAUUAAAGAAGGAAGAUCCGGAAUUCUAUUAUAGUUACACUCUUGAUGAGUUUGACAGGGUUGAGAAUCUGUUUUGGGUGGAUGGUGCAGCAAGGAGAGAUUAUGAGCUGUAUAGUGAUUGUUUGUCCUUUGACACUACUUAUUUGACCAAUGCCUACAACAUGACAUGUGCUCCUUUCAUAGGUAUGUAUGUCCAGCAAAAAAAAUGCUAGUUUGACCAUUGAUGGUUUUCAUUGAUUGUUAUAUAUUGGAGUCCAGAAAAAAUACUGGUUAUCACACUGACUAUAAUGCUGUAUACUCUUUGAACAAUUUGCUACUUUGAGAAAGCACAAGUUGACACACUAGUUGCACAUAAGUUGCCAUCUUUAUUCUGCACCAGUUGAUAGCCUUCAGCUAUGAAAAAAAUACUAAUAAUUUGUAUUGUGUUAACAGGGAUUGACAGGAAUGACAUAACAAUCCAGCUGGGUUGCGGCUUUCUGAGGAAUGAGAAGACUGAGGGUUUUGUCUGGCUGUUUACUGAAUUCAAGAAAGCAAUGGGCGGCAAGGAUCCUGCAAAUAUAAUAACUGAUCAAGAUAUUGCGAUGACGGCUGCUAUAGCAGAGGUAUUUGUCAGUUCAGUUCAUAGGAAUUGCCGUUGGCACAUUAUGGAAAAUGCUAGGAAGACAAUGGGUCCUUUCUUGGAUAGCAAGGGGGAUGGUAAGCAAGAGUUGGCGGAUGACUUCAAGGAUUGUAUUGACAAUAGCUUCACGCCGGCAGAGUUUGAGCAGAAGUGGCAGACUUUUCUGGAUAAAUAUGAGCUCAACAAUGAUGAGAGGUUCCAACAUUUGUAUGGCAUGAGACAGUGUUGGAUCCCUGCAUAUUUCAUGUAUUGUUUCUUCCCCUUCCUCCAAACAACAGCACGGAGUGAAGGCUUCAAUGCUGUCCUGAAGCGCUAUGUCAACCCAAAGAACUCGAUACUCAACUUUGUGCAGUAAUAUAAGAAGAUACAACAAAGGAUUUUCAGCAAGCAAGAUUUGCAAGAGGCGGCCACAGCCACGAAGGUCCCACGCUACUUGACGGGGCACCCUAUGGAGCAUCAGAUGAAGAAAGCGUAUACAAGGAGUUUGUUCAAUGUGUUUCAACACGAGCUGCAGCUAAGUUCGAGCUACUAUGUUGUUCGUGUUGAAGGGGAUGACUUGAUAGAUGUUGUUCCGUACAGGCAUUGCCCCGAUCUGUUGUAUGGGACACGAACAUUCAGGGUCACGUCGUCCAGGGUGGAGGGCUUGUAUAGCUGCACUUGUUGCAAGUUUUAGAGCGAUUGAGUGCUUUGCUGCCACAUAUUGAAGGUUUUUGACGCCCUUGCAGUCCGCGAGGUGCCUGAUCGGUACAUUCUCCCUCGAUGGUCAGUUGAGCCAGUGGUUGAUAGUGGGGUGGAAGUUGCCGCUAACGAGCCUCUUCAAGAAGCCCAGAUUACAGACCAUGGGAAGCAUGUUAUACGUUACAGCAGGAUGUGCACAAACUUUAAUAAGAUUGUGAGACCUUUUAUGGCUGAAGACGAGGGGUAUGCCAUAGUAUCAAAACAAGUGAGUGCCCUACAAUCUAAGCUUGUUGCUUUGGGGAAAAGGAGAGCGUCAAGUGUUCUUCCGGGGCUGGAGUGUGAACAAGUUGAUAUUGAACAACCCGCUGCGCCAAGGCCGCAGAACAAAUCGCGCAAAAAAACAAGCUCAUCAACCGGAGGGGGUGGGGAUCCAAAUCUGUCACAACAGCCUAAUGGCUCGCAUGUUGCUGGUGCUGAGAUUGGGGACCCACCAAUAACAAAGAAGCAAGGGCGUCCAAGGUCAAAGAGAUACAAGACAGGGUUGGGGUUGCUUCCCCCAAAAAACCACCGUGUGGAUAUUGUGGUUCAACAGAACAUACUACAUCGACUUGCCCCGCCAAGCCGGCAAGAAAGCAAACAAAAGAACUCUCGGAUAAAUCACUAAAUGAGGUUGCUGCUGCGUGAAAAAACAAGAUGUGUUGCAGGGGGAUGCAUCUAACAUUUUUUCCACUUCCUUGUAAUUUAUUAAAAUGGAAUUAGUGAUUUAUGAUUUUAUUAAAGCAUUGUGUGUGGUGAUGUAAUAAUGAAUAGUUGAUGCUUUUGUAUAUUUCAGACUUGCUAUAUAUGGAUAAAUAUACUUUUAAUAAAA